rnacentral:rRNA from 1 species
UUGAUGGCGACCGGCGCACGGGUGAGUAACGCGUAUCCAACCUGCCCUUUACUAUGGGACAGCCCGUCGAAAGGCGGAUUAAUACCGUACGUUGUCAUGUUGAUGCAUAUUUUCAUGACCAAAGGCUUCGGCCGGUAAAGGAUGGGGAUGCGUCUGAUUAGCCUGCCGGCGGGGUAACGGCCCACCGGGGCGACGAUCAGUAGGGGUUCUGAGAGGAAGGUCCCCCACAUUGGAACUGAGACACGGUCCAAACUCCUACGGAAGGCAGCAG